GACGAACGCUGGCGGCGUGCCUAAUACAUGCAAGUCGAACGAUUAAAGCACCUUCGGGUGUGUAUAAAGUGGCGAACGGCUGAGUAACACGUGGGCAACCUGCCCCUCUCAUUGGGAUAGCCACGGGAAACCGUGGAUAAUACCGAAUACUUCGGGACUUCCGCAUGGAAGACUCGAGAAAGCUCCGGCGGAGAGGGAUGGGCCCGCGGCCUGUUAGCUUGUUGGUGGGGUAACGGCCUACCAAGGCAAUGAUGGGUAGCUGGGUUGAGAGACCGACCAGCCAGAUUGGGACUGAGACACGGCCCAGACUCCUACGGGAGGCAGCAGUGGGGAAUCUUGCACAAUGGGCGAAAGCCUGAUGCAGCGACGCCGCGUGCGGGAUGAAGGCCUUCGGGUUGUAAACCGCUUUCAGCAGGGACGAGGCGAAAGUGACGGUACCUGCAGAAGAAGCCCCGGCUAACUACGUGCCAGCAGCCGCGGUAAUACGUAGGGGGCAAGCGUUAUCCGGAUUCAUUGGGCGUAAAGCGCUCGUAGGCGGUCUGUUAGGUCGGGAGUUAAAUCCGGGGGCUCAACCCCCGUUCGCUCCCGAUACCGGCAGACUUGAGUUUGGUAGGGGAAGGUGGAAUUCCUAGUGUAGCGGUGGAAUGCGCAGAUAUUAGGAAGAACACCAGUGGCGAAGGCGGCCUUCUGGGCCAUAACUGACGCUGAGGAGCGAAAGCUAGGGGAGCAAACAGG
rnacentral:rRNA from 1 species